CACCAAGCCUUCGAUGGAUAGGGGUUCUGAGAGGAAGGUCCCCCACAUUGGAACUGAGACACGGUCCAAACUCCUACGGGAGGCAGCAGUGAGGAAUAUUGGUCAAUGGGCGCUAGCCUGAACCAGCCAAGUAGCGUGAAGGAUGAAGGCUCUAUGGGUCGUAAACUUCUUUUAUAUAAGAAUAAAGUGCAGUAUGUAUACUGUUUUGUAUGUAUUAUAUGAAUAAGGAUCGGCUAACUCCGUGCCAGCAGCCGCGGUAAUACGGAGGAUCCGAGCGUUAUCCGGAUUUAUUGGGUUUAAAGGGAGCGUAGGUGGACUGGUAAGUCAGUUGUGAAAGUUUGCGGCUCAACCGUAAAAUUGCAGUUGAUACUGUCAGUCUUGAGUACAGUAGAGGUGGGCGGAAUUCGUGGUGUAGCGGUGAAAUGCUUAGAUAUCACGAAGAACUCCGAUUGCGAAGGCAGCUCACUGGACUGCAACUGACACUGAUGCUCGAAAGUGUGGGUAUCAAACAGGAUUAGAUACCCUGGUAGUCCACACAGUAAACGAUGAAUACUCGCUGUUUGCGAUAUACAGUAAGCGGCCAAGCGAAAGCAUUAAGUAUUCCACCUGGGGAGUACGCCGGCAACGGUGAAACUCAAAGGAAUUGACGGGGGCCCGCACAAGCGGAGGAACAUGUGGUUUAAUUCGAUGAUACGCGAGGAACCUUACCCGGGCUUAAAUUGCAGUGGAAUGAUGUGGAAACAUGUCAGUGAGCAAUCACCGCUGUGAAGGUGCUGCAUGGUUGUCGUCAGCUCGUGCCGUGAGGUGUCGGCUUAAGUGCCAUAACGAGCGCAACCCUUAUCUUCAGUUACUAACAGGUCAUGCUGAGGACUCUGGAGAGACUGCCGUCGUAAGAUGUGAGGAAGGUGGGGAUGACGUCAAAUCAGCACGGCCCUUACGUCCGGGGCUACACACGUGUUACAAUGGGGGGUACAGAAGGCAGCUAGCGGGUGACCGUAUGCUAAUCCCAAAAUCCUCUCUCAGUUCGGAUCGAAGUCUGCAACCCGACUUCGUGAAGCUGGAUUCGCUAGUAAUCGCGCAUCAGCCACGGCGCGGUGAAUACGU
rnacentral:rRNA from 1 species